UAAGGAAUAUUGCGCAAUGGACGAAAGUCUGACGCAGCGACGCCGCGUGGGGGAUGAAGGUCUUCGGAUUGUAAACCCCUUUCGGGAGGGAAGAUGGAGUGGGUAACCACUUGGACGGUACCUCCAGAAGCAGCCACGGCUAACUUCGUGCCAGCAGCCGCGGUAAUACGAAGGUGGCAAGCGUUGUUCGGAUUCACUGGGCGUACAGGGAGCGUAGGCGGUUGGGUAAGCCCUCCGUGAAAUCUCCGGGCCUAACCCGGAAAGUGCAGAGGGGACUGCUCAGCUAGAGGAUGGGAGAGGAGCGCGGAAUUCCCGGUGUAGCGGUGAAAUGCGUAGAGAUCGGGAGGAAGGCCGGUGGCGAAGGCGGCGCUCUGGAACAUUUCCGACGCUGAGGCUCGAAAGCGUGGGGAGCAAACAGGAUUAGAUACCCCGGUAUUCCCUGAGCGGGCUGGCAAGGCGCAU
rnacentral:rRNA from 1 species